rnacentral:rRNA from 1 species
UACGUAGGGUGCGAGCGUUAAUCGGAAUUACUGGGCGUAAAGCGUGCGCAGGCGGUUUGAUAAGCCAGAUGUGAAAUCCCCGAGCUCAACUUGGGAACUGCGUUUGGAACUGUCAGACUAGAGUGCGUCAGAGGGGGGUGGAAUUCCGCGUGUAGCAGUGAAAUGCGUAGAGAUGCGGAGGAACACCGAUGGCGAAGGCAGCCCCCUGGGAUGACACUGACGCUCAUGAACGAAAGCGUGGGGAGCAAACAGG